rnacentral:lncRNA from 1 species
AUGGUGAAGUGGAAGUAACCAAUCGGACAAUCCUGCACGGGCUGAAAAUCUGACUUAAUGAAGCCAAAGGCCUCUGGAUGGAAAAACUAUAUCUGAUCUUAUGGAUGUAUCGGACAACUCCCCACAUACCGAUAAAAAAAUCUUCCUUCAAUUUAGUUUAUGGAAUAGAAGCAAUGAUACCGCUCGAGAUUGGAUUACCAUC